GAUGAACGCUGGCGGCGUGCCUAAUACAUGCAAGUCGAGCGAACAGACGAGGAGCUUGCUCCUCUGACGUUAGCGGCGGACGGGUGAGUAACACGUGGAUAACCUACCUAUAAGACUGGGAUAACUUCGGGAAACCGGAGCUAAUACCGGAUAAUAUAUUGAACCGCAUGGUUCAAUAGUGAAAGACGGUUUUGCUGUCACUUAUAGAUGGAUCCGCGCCGCAUUAGCUAGUUGGUAAGGUAACGGCUUACCAAGGCAACGAUGCGUAGCCGACCUGAGAGGGGGAUCGGCCACACUGGAACUGAGACACGGUCCAGACUCCUACGGGAGGCAGCAGUAGGGAAUCUUCCGCAAUGGGCGAAAGCUUGACGGAGCAACGCCGCGUGAGUGAUGAAGGUCUUCGGAGCGUAAAACUCUGUUAUUAGGGAAGAACAAAUGUGUAAGUAACUAUGCACGUCUUGACGGUACCUAAUCAGAAAGCCACGGCUAACUACGUG
rnacentral:rRNA from 1 species